GGCGAGCUGUAGUUUCUUUGCUUACUGCGUGUGUCCCUCAAUCGUCAACUGCAGAUUGAUAGAAACUUAUCAAAUGGACACAAUGUUAUUCUAAGCAAUCGGCAUGUGCGCCUUUUACUGCAUGGUAAAAUAAUAGACUACACCAAAGUUGUUUUCUAGAGUAAACGGAGUGUUUUUUGUCGUUGCUCAGAUCAAGCUAGUUUGUGACCUGAUAGUCGGAAUCGUCUUUGUGUCCUCUCUCGUGCGCUUUUAAUUGAACUGUUCUUUUUUUUUUUUUUAAAAUAAAAACUGUUUUAUUUAGUUCAGGAAAACUUUUUUGAAGAUGUUUUUACCCACUGUUAUAUAUACGUUAGCUAGUAUUUUUUUUGUGCACAUUUAAAGGAACGAUGUGGGAGUCAAUGAAGGUGUUAGAGCAGUGAUGUCACAGAGCUGAAGACAUUUCCUAUCACAGGUCCUGAGACAGGGGAAGACAGAUGUGGAGCCCCUCCCUGUCCCUGUGUGGAGUGGCCUCUCUUUCACACUUCCAAUAAAAACCACUGUCACCAGUAACCACCAGCUCCACUUAACAACCAGCUUCACCAGUAACCACCAGCUCCACUUAACAACCAGCUUCACCAGUAACCACCAGCUCCACUUAACAACCAGCUUCACCAGUAACCACCAGUGAUGCUGCUGCUAGGAGGAGACAGAC
ensembl:lncRNA